rnacentral:rRNA from 1 species
UACGGGGGGAGCAAGCGUUGUUCGGAUUUACUGGGCGUAAAGGGCGCGUAGGCGGCCACGCAAGUCUUGGGUGAAAUCCCUCGGCUCAACCGAGGAACUGCCUUGGAAACUGCAUGGCUCGAGGCCGGGAGAGGGUAGCGGAAUUCCCAGUGUAGCGGUGAAAUGCGUAGAUAUUGGGAGGAACACCGGUGGCGAAGGCGGCGACCUGGACCGGUUCUGACGCUGAUGCGCGAAAGCGUGGGGAGCAAACAGG